AUUGAACGCUGGCGGCAUGCCUUACACAUGCAAGUCGAACGGUAACAGGUCUUCGGAUGCUGACGAGUGGCGAACGGGUGAGUAAUACAUCGGAACGUGCCUAGUAGUGGGGGAUAACUACUCGAAAGAGUGGCUAAUACCGCAUGAGAUCUACGGAUGAAAGCAGGGGAUCGCAAGACCUUGUGCUACUAGAGCGGCCGAUGGCAGAUUAGGGAGUUGGUGGGAUAAAAGCUUACCAAGCCGACGACCUGUAGCUGGUCUGAGAGGACGAUCAGCCACACUGGGACUGAGAAACGGCCCAGACUCCUACGGGAGGCAGCAGUGGGGAAUUUUGGACAAUGGGCGCAAGCCUGAUCCAGCAAUGCCGCGUGCAGGAUGAAGGCCUUCGGGUUGUAAACUGCUUUUGUACGGAACGAAAAGCCCCGGGUUAAUACCCUGGGGUCAUGACGGUACCGUAAGAAUAAGCACCGGCUAACUACGUGCCAGCCGCCGCCGUAA
rnacentral:rRNA from 1 species